AGUCAACCUGCAGCAGCGUUGCAAAAAACGCAGAUUACUUGAGCUGUUGGCUGCGUAUAGGUGUGGCUACGGAAGGAACAGGGAAAAGAUUUUCAGUUUUAGAGAAGAGAACUGUAUAAUUCAUUUUAUUUACACAUAUGUAAAAACCCUGCCUCCAAGAAACACCAGCCUUUAUUGGAACAAUUAGCUGGAUGCUGAAGUUGUUGGGUACUCGUGAACUCAGAAGAGUUUGAGAUGAAGAAACCAACAAAGACAUGAAGGGGCAGAAGAUACCAUCUCUUCUCUGUUUGCUUUCCAUAUGUGCUACAACUUGGGAAAAGGAAACAGUAACAGGGCUGUUUGCAAAAGGAUGUCAUCCUUCCUUGUCCUUUCCACCUGGUGAUGAUGAAGUAAUUUACUGGAAGAAAGAAGAAAAUGAUGUACAUAGCUACUACUACAGGAGGGAU